UCCUGAUAUUUAGUUUGAAUCUUCUUCCUUGUAACUUGAAGUCACUGGUUUGAGCCCUACUCUCCCGAGCAGGAGAAAACAAGCUUGUGCCAUCUUCCACAUGACCCUUUAGAUAUUUGAAGAAAGCUAUCAUAUCUCCUCUCAGUCUCCUCUUUUCCAGACUAAACAUACCCAAUUCCCUCAAC